UUAAGUUAUUAAGGGCGCACGGUGGAUGCCUUGGCACUAGAAGCCGAUGAAGGACGUUACUAACGACGAUAUGCUUUGGGGAGCUGUAAGUAAGCUUUGAUCCAGAGAUUUCCGAAUGGGGAAACCCAGCAUGAGUUAUGUCAUGUUAUCGAUAUGUGAAUACAUAGCAUAUCAGAAGGCACACCCGGAGAACUGAAACAUCUUAGUACCCGGAGGAAGAGAAAGAAAAUUCGAUUCCCUUAGUAGCGGCGAGCGAAACGGGAAGAGCCCAAACCAACAAGCUUGCUUGUUGGGGUUGUAGGACACUCUAUACGGAGUUACAAAGGACGACAUUAGACGAAUCAUCUGGAAAGAUGAAUCAAAGAAGGUAAUAAUCCUGUAGUCGAAAAUGUUGUCUCUCUUGAGUGGAUCCUGAGUACGACGGAGCACGUGAAAUUCCGUCGGAAUCUGGGAGGACCAUCUCCUAAGGCUAAAUACUCUCUAGUGACCGAUAGUGAACCAGUACCGUGAGGGAAAGGUGAAAAGCACCCCGGAAGGGGAGUGAAAUAGAACCUGAAACCGUGUGCUUACAAGUAGUCAGAGCCCGUUAAUGGGUGAUGGCGUGCCUUUUGUAGAAUGAACCGGCGAGUUACGAUUUGAUGCAAGGUUAAGCAGUAAAUGUGGAGCCGUAGCGAAAGCGAGUCUGAAUAGGGCGUUUAGUAUUUGGUCGUAGACCCGAAACCAGGUGAUCUACCCUUGGUCAGGUUGAAGUUCAGGUAACACUGAAUGGAGGACCGAACCGACUUACGUUGAAAAGUGAGCGGAUGAACUGAGGGUAGCGGAGAAAUUCCAAUCGAACCUGGAGAUAGCUGGUUCUCUCCGAAAUAGCUUUAGGGCUAGCCUCAAGUGAUGAUUAUUGGAGGUAGAGCACUGUUUGGACGAGGGGCCCCUCUCGGGUUACCGAAUUCAGACAAACUCCGAAUGCCAAUUAAUUUAACUUGGGAGUCAGAACAUGGGUGAUAAGGUCCGUGUUCGAAAGGGAAACAGCCCAGACCACCAGCUAAGGUCCCAAAAUAUAUGUUAAGUGGAAAAGGAUGUGGCGUUGCCCAGACAACUAGGAUGUUGGCUUAGAAGCAGCCAUCAUUUAAAGAGUGCGUAAUAGCUCACUAGUCGAGUGACACUGCGCCGAAAAUGUACCGGGGCUAAACAUAUUACCGAAGCUGUGGAUUGUCCUUUGGACAAUGGUAGGAGAGCGUUCUAAGGGCGUUGAAGCAUGAUCGUAAGGACAUGUGGAGCGCUUAGAAGUGAGAAUGCCGGUGUGAGUAGCGAAAGACGGGUGAGAAUCCCGUCCACCGAUUGACUAAGGUUUCCAGAGGAAGGCUCGUCCGCUCUGGGUUAGUCGGGUCCUAAGCUGAGGCCGACAGGCGUAGGCGAUGGAUAACAGGUUGAUAUUCCUGUACCACCUAUAAUCGUUUUAAUCGAUGGGGGGACGCAGUAGGAUAGGCGAAGCGUGCGAUUGGAUUGCACGUCUAAGCAGUAAGGCUGAGUAUUAGGCAAAUCCGGUACUCGUUAAGGCUGAGCUGUGAUGGGGAGAAGACAUUGUGUCUUCGAGUCGUUGAUUUCACACUGCCGAGAAAAGCCUCUAGAUAGAAAAUAGGUGCCCGUACCGCAAACCGACACAGGUAGUCAAGAUGAGAAUUCUAAGGUGAGCGAGCGAACUCUCGUUAAGGAACUCGGCAAAAUGACCCCGUAACUUCGGGAGAAGGGGUGCUCUUUAGGGUUAACGCCCAGAAGAGCCGCAGUGAAUAGGCCCAAGCGACUGUUUAUCAAAAACACAGGUCUCUGCUAAACCGUAAGGUGAUGUAUAGGGGCUGACGCCUGCCCGGUGCUGGAAGGUUAAGAGGAGUGGUUAGCUUCUGCGAAGCUACGAAUCGAAGCCCCAGUAAACGGCGGCCGUAACUAUAACGGUCCUAAGGUAGCGAAAUUCCUUGUCGGGUAAGUUCCGACCCGCACGAAAGGCGUAACGAUUUGGGCACUGUCUCAACGAGAGACUCGGUGAAAUCAUAGUACCUGUGAAGAUGCAGGUUACCCGCGACAGGACGGAAAGACCCCGUGGAGCUUUACUGUAGCCUGAUAUUGAAAUUCGGCACAGCUUGUACAGGAUAGGUAGGAGCCUUUGAAACGUGAGCGCUAGCUUACGUGGAGGCGCUGGUGGGAUACUACCCUAGCUGUGUUGGCUUUCUAACCCGCACCACUUAUCGUGGUGGGAGACAGUGUCAGGCGGGCAGUUUGACUGGGGCGGUCGCCUCCUAAAAGGUAACGGAGGCGCUCAAAGGUUCCCUCAGAAUGGUUGGAAAUCAUUCAUAGAGUGUAAAGGCAUAAGGGAGCUUGACUGCGAGACCUACAAGUCGAGCAGGGUCGAAAGAUGGACUUAGUGAUCCGGUGGUUCCGCAUGGAAGGGCCAUCGCUCAACGGAUAAAAGCUACCCCGGGGAUAACAGGCUUAUCUCCCCCAAGAGUUCACAUCGACGGGGAGGUUUGGCACCUCGAUGUCGGCUCAUCGCAUCCUGGGGCUGUAGUCGGUCCCAAGGGUUGGGCUGUUCGCCCAUUAAAGCGGUACGCGAGCUGGGUUCAGAACGUCGUGAGACAGUUCGGUCCCUAUCCGUCGUGGGCGUAGGAAAUUUGAGAGGAGCUGUCCUUAGUACGAGAGGACCGGGAUGGACAUACCUCUGGUGUACCAGUUGUCGUGCCAACGGCAUAGCUGGGUAGCUAUGUGUGGACGGGAUAAGUGCUGAAAGCAUCUAAGCAUGAAGCCCCCCUCAAGAUGAGAUUUCCCAACUUCGGUUAUAAGAUCCCUCAAAGAUGAUGAGGUUAAUAGGUUCGAGGUGGAAGCAUGGUGACAUGUGGAGCUGACGAAUACUAAUCGAUCGAAGACUUAAUCAA
rnacentral:rRNA from 1 species